CCUACGGGAGGCUGCAGUGGGGAAUAUUGCACAAUGGGGGAAACCCUGAUGCAGCGACGCCGCGUGGGUGAAGAAGUAUUUCGGUAUGUAAAGCUCUGUCAGCAGGGAAGAAAAUGACGGUAUCUAACCAAGAAGCACCGGCUAACUACGUGCCAGCAGCCGCGGUAAUACGUAGGGGGCAAGCGUUAUCCGGAUUUACUGGGUGUAAAGGGAGCGUAGACGGGAGGGCAAGUCUGAUGUGAAAGGCGGGGGCUCAACCCCAGGACUGCAUUGGAAACUGCUAGGCUGGAGUGCAGGAGAGGUAGGUGGAAUUCCUAGUGUAGCGGUGAAAUGCGUAGAGAUUAGGAGGAAUACCAGUGGCGAAGGCGGCCUACUGGAACGUAACUGACGCUGAGGCUCGAAAGCGUGGGGAGCAAACAGGAUUAGAUACCCCUGUAGUC
rnacentral:rRNA from 1 species